UCAGACAUGGUGUAGUGGGAACACAACUUAUUCUUAUACCCGAAAUAUUCCAUGUUCUGUAAGCGCUCCGGGGUUCGAAUCCCUGUGUCUGAA